rnacentral:lncRNA from 10 species
UAGGAACCCUCGGUCCCGAGGUUUCCAUUCUAGUGGGCCUUUAACUCUCGGACUCUCAGAGCUAACAGACACCUCUGAUACUCUCUAACUCUACCCCAGGAAACGCAAGCCCGAGAAGGAGAGUUUACAGCAGGCCGUGGACUAGGGAUUCACAUAAAAACAACAAUGAUAAAUCUCAUUUAAACUUCACCAAUGUAGGUAAAACCACACCACUCCUAUUUUACAGAUGUGAAAAGAGAGGCCCAAAGAGCUCAAGGAAUUUGCCCUCUAUCAUAUCCCCAGCAGAUGGAGAGGAUUCAAACCCAGAAUUCUUAAGCAGUGCCUGGGAGUUCUUCCACAAUCUUAACAGUUACCCUCCACCACCCCUUGGGCCCUCUGUCCCCAGGAGCCUGGCCAGCCAAGACUCACAUCCUCAGUGUUCCACAGCUGCUCCACGUAAUCUGCCCAAGACUUCUGCUGCAUUCAGUUGAACACACAGGAGGAAACUUCACUCCCCAGCCGACCACACAAAGAUCCGUUCUCAUCCCCAGGGCAGCUGCUCUGGCCACUCGACCCGCGCCCUGGAUAGCUCCAGUUGCUGUGAGCGCGACCACCCGCCGCGUGAUUAAGAGCGCUCCGGGCCGGGCAGUCUCCCGUGGGAGUGGGGGCGUGGGUGAGUGCGACGGAAAUCCCGCCUUCCGGCGCCCGCGCUUGACCCUGGCCUCAGAGGGUGAGCUCCAAGUAGGAAGAUGAGCGGGAUUGCGGGAAGCGGGAGAGCCCGGAGGACUGCGAAGCGCUCGUCUUCACCAUUGGCUGCGCCCGCAGAGCAGCCUCGUUGCGAUUGGCCGUACGCGGGGGGGCGCGGGAGUCUCGCCUCGG